rnacentral:rRNA from 1 species
GACGAACGCUGGCGGCGUGCUUAACACAUGCAAGUCGAACGGAAAGGCCCUGCUUUUGUGGGGUGCUCGAGUGGCGAACGGGUGAGUAACACGUGAGUAACCUGCCCUUGACUUUGGGAUAACUUCAGGAAACUGGGGCUAUUACCGGAUAGGAGCUCCUGCUGCAUGGUGGGGGUUGGAAAGUUUCGGCGGUUGGGGAUGGACUCGCGGCUUAUCAGCUUGUUGGUGGGGUAGUGGCUUACCAAGGCUUUGACGGGUAGCCGGCCUGAGAGGGUGACCGGGCACAUUGGGACUGAGAUACGGCCCAGACUGCUACGGGAGGCAGCAGUGGAGAAUAUUGCACAAUGGGCGGAAGCCUGAUGCAGCAACGCCGCGUGCGGGAUGACGGCCUUCGGGUUGUAAACCGCUUUCGCCUGUGACGAAGCGUGAGUGACGGUAAUGGGUAAAGAAGCACCGGCUAACUACGUG